AGAGUUUGAUCCUGGCUCAGGACUAACGCUGGCGGCGUGCCUAACACAUGCAAGUCGAACGGACGUAGCAAUACGUUAGUGGCAGACGGGUGAGUAACACGUAGAUAACGUACCCCUCCGCUGGGGAUAGCCACUGGAAACGGUGGGUAAAACCGAAUAGUCUCUAAUUCGGGCAUCUGAGUUAGAGUAAAACUUUGGUGUGGAGGGAUCAGUUUGCGACCUAUCAGCUAGUUGGUGAGGUAACGGCUCACCAAGGCUCCGACGGGUAACCGGUCUGAGAGGACGGUCGGUCACACUGGCACUGAGAUACGGGCCAGACUCCUACGGGAGGCAGCAGUGAGGGAUUUUGCACAAUGGAGGAAACUCUGAUGCAGCGACGCCGCGUGCGGGACGAAGCCUUUCGGGGUGUAAACCGCUGUCAGUGGGGAAGAGUAGGGACGGUACCCACUGAGGAAGCAUCGGCUAACUACGUGCCAGCAGCCGCGGUAAGACGUAGGGUGCGAGCGUUGUCCGGAAUCACUGGGCGUAAAGAGCUCGUAGGCGGGGUCGUGCGUCGUGGAGUAAAUUUCUCUGCUUAACGGAGGAGUCUUCUGCGAUACGGCGAUUCUUGAGGACAGGAGAGGAAAGUGGAAUUCCGAGUGUAGCGGUGAAAUGCGUAGAGAUUCGGAGGAACACCAGUGGCGAAGGCGACUUUCUGGCCUGAUUCUGACGCUGAGGAGCGAAAGCCAGGGUAGCGAACGGGAUUAGAUACCCCAGUAGUCC
rnacentral:rRNA from 1 species